CGGGCCYAACCAUGCAGUCGAGCGAUGAAGGCCCCUUCGGGGGACGGAUUAGCGGCGGACGGGUGAGUAACACGUGAGUAACCUGCCUCAAAGAGGGGGAUAGCCUUCCGAAAGGAAGAUUAAUACCGCAUAAUAUCGGAUGAUCGCAUGAUCGACCGAUUAAAGGAGCAAUCCGCUUUGAGAUGGACUCGCGGCGCAUUAGCUAGUUGGUGAGGUAACGGCUCACCAAGGCGACGAUGCGUAGCCGACCUGAGAGGGUGAUCGGCCACAUUGGGACUGAGACACGGCCCAGACUCCUACGGGAGGCAGCAGUGGGGAAUAUUGCGCAAUGGACGAAAGUCUGACGCAGCAACGCCGCGUGGGUGAUGAAGGUCUUCGGAUUGUAAAGCCCUGUCUUCGAGGACGAUAAUGACGGUACUCGAGGAGGAAGCCACGGCUAACUACGUGCCAGCAGCCGCGGUAAUACGUAGGUGGCAAGCGUUGUCCGGAUUUACUGGGCGUAAAGAGUGUGUAGGCG
rnacentral:rRNA from 1 species